UGGGCAGUGAUGAGCUGCGCAGGGGUACGGACCUCAGCUGAUAAUGGGGGCUGAGUGCUGGUGUCUAACCUCAGUUCAGUCGGCAUGUGGUCAACUGACUGAGGGAUGCCGGCAUGAACAAGUCGCAUGUACUGAGCCCA